GUGAGUCGGCGGGUGGGCCACGGGGACCUCCUGGGGAAGUUCCUCCCUCACUGCAGGAUGCGUGACGCUGAGAAGCGUAGCCGGAGACGGUUGGCGACGGAACAGAAACGAUACCCGCCUCACUAUGUGCGAUGACGGAGCGAUUCCGAGAUCGGUGAACGCGGGAUGAAACGGCCGACCCACGCAGAGCAAGGCCGAACGUGGUCUUGGACGCGCCUGCACCAGAUCAGGGUUGGCUGCUCAGCUGAAUCCUACCUAGAACAGAAGGAGGACUACGGCCGAGACAC
rnacentral:RNase_P_RNA from 1 species